CAUGCUUCCGGGCAUAACCGCAGAAAAUAUCCGCAGUCCCGUGGCGCUUCCACAAGUGGUCAUGUUCCACACUAGGCAUGCUUCCAAGGACGAUGUUUUUGUUGUGUGGACAACCGAUGUUAGGAAAAGUGACUACGUUGUAUUGGCUCUAUGUGAACUUUUUGGUUUUUGUUGAAUGUGCUUGUAAAUCUCUAUUCAAUGUAUGCCUAUGAAGAUUGUGAUUUCAGUAGUAUGGUUAGAACUGCAAAUUAAGCGUGGUUGGGCAUGUUUAGAACGUUGAUAUUGAGAAUGCCUUUUCUUGCGAUGUAACUGCAUUUUGCAUUGUAAAACCAUGUUUGUAUAGAGA